AUGGGGCGAGGUCGUGGGAUCAUGGAACGGAGAGAUCCUGAGCCUCCCUUGGGCGUCCACGCGCGCGGGGUUGGUGUUGAUCUCAGAGAAGCAGCCGAGGACGCCGUGGUGCUCCAGGACGGUCUCGAUGAAGAAGGAGUUGGCGUCGCUCACCACCUUCAAAUCACACCUGGGACGCACACCUACCACCGUCAAGAUCCAAUCCAACCACCGGCCGCGUGGGAAAUCAAGAACACAUCGGCAAAUCGGCAUCGGUCCAUUUCAUACCCUAAUGCCGACGCCGUCCGGAUGGCGGAGAGGACGUGCGCGUCGAGCGGUGCGCUCCUGAGGCACUCGCGGAUGUCGUCGGCCGACCUCCCCUGCGCGUGGAGCUCCCCCAUCAUCCUGUCCUGGAAGACAUUAGGGCCUCACUCAGCCGGGAGAAGCGCCAUGCGUGUCUAG
rnacentral:rRNA from 1 species